rnacentral:rRNA from 1 species
AGCGAACGUUAGCGGCGCGCUUAACACAUGCAAGUCGAACGAGAAAGGGACUUCGGUCCCCGGUAAAGUGGCGCACGGGUGCGUAACACGUAGGCAAUCUUCCCUCAGGAGGGGGAUAACUACCCGAAAGGGUAGCUAAUACCGCGUAAGACCACGGGCUCCACGGAGCUUGCGGUCAAAGGAGGCCUCUUCAUGAAAGCUUCCACCAGAGGAUGAGCCUGCGGCCCAUCAGCUAGUUGGCAGGGUAACGGCCUACCAAGGCGAAGACGGGUAGCCGGUCUGGGAGGAUGAUCGGCCACACUGGCACUGAAACACGGGCCAGACUCCUACGGGAGGCAGCAGUGGGGAAUCUUGGACAAUGGGCGAAAGCCUGAUCCAGCGACGCCGCGUGGGUGAUGAAGGCCUUCGGGUUGUAAAGCCCUGUUGAAGGGAAAGAAAACGUUGGGCGCGAAUAGCUCCCGACCUCGACGGUACCCUUCCAGAAAGCACCGGCUAACUCUGUGCCAGCCGCCGCGGUAAAAC